CAAUAUUAAAGGUAACGCCUGCCCAGUGAAAUUUCAACGGCCGCGGUAUCCUAACCGUGCAAAGGUAGCGUAAUCACUUGUCCUCUAAAUAAGGACCGGUAUGAAUGGCUAAAUGAGGGCCAACCUGUCUCCUCUAAUUAAUCAGUGAAACUGAUCUACCAGUACAAAAGCUGGUAUAAACCCAUAAGACGAGAAGACCCUGUGGAGCUUUAAAUCAAAAAUCAACACCAGAACUACCACCUCUAAACCACCCUGAUUUGACGAUUUUCAGUUGGGGCGACUUCGGAAUAAAAGACAACUUCCGAGUAAAAGAGACCCUCUCUACCACAGACCGACAAGUCAACAAAACCUUGACCCAGUCCACACUGAUCAACGAACCAAGUUACCCCAGGGAUAACAGCGCAAUCUUCUUCAAGAGUCCAUAUCGACAAGAAGGUUUACGACCUCGAUGUUGGAUCAGGACACCCAAUUGGUGCAGCCGCUAUUAAGGGUUCGUUUGUUCAACGAUUAACAGUCCUACGUGAUCUGAGUUCAGACCGGAGC
rnacentral:rRNA from 1 species